GCAAAACUGAGCAGAAAGUACAGAGGUCCCAUUAUACUCUUGCCCCCACAUGUGCACACACAGAGCCUUCCUUACCAUCAACAUCCCACACCAGAAUAGUAUAUUGUUACAAUUCAUAAACCUACAUAAACACACCAUUAUCACCCACCAUUAUUAUCCAUAGUUUACGUUAGGGUUCACUCUUGGUUUGUUAUACAUUCUAUAGGUUUU
rnacentral:lncRNA from 1 species